GACGAACGCUGGCGGCGUGCUUAACACAUGCAAGUCGAACGGAAAGGCCCUGCUUUUGUGGGGUGCUCGAGUGGCGAACGGGUGAGUAACACGUGAGUAACCUGCCCUUGACUUUGGGAUAACUUCAGGAAACUGGGGCUAAUACCGGAUAGGAGCUCCUGCUGCAUGGUGGGGGUUGGAAAGUUUCGGCGGUUGGGGAUGGACUCGCGGCUUAUCAGCUUGUUGGUGGGGUAGUGGCUUACCAAGGCUUUGACGGGUAGCCGGCCUGAGAGGGUGACCGGCCACAUUGGGACUGAGAUACGGCCCAGACUCCUACGGGAGGCAGCAGUGGGGAAUAUUGCACAAUGGGCGGAAGCCUGAUGCAGCAACGCCGCGUGCGGGAUGACGGCCUUCGGGUUGUAAACCGCUUUCGUCUGUGACGAAGCGUGAGUGACGGUAAUGGGUAAAGAAGCACCGGCUAACUACGUGCCAGCAGCCGCGGUGAUACGUAGGGUGCGAGCGUUGUCCGGAUUUAUUGGGCGUAAAGGGCUCGUAGGUGGUUGAUCGCGUCGGAAGUGUAAUCUUGGGGCUUAACCCUGAGCGUGCUUUCGAUACGGGUUGACUUGAGGAAGGUAGGGGAGAAUGGAAUUCCUGGUGGAGCGGUGGAAUGCGCAGAUAUCAGGAGGAACACCAGUGGCGAAGGCGGUUCUCUGGGCCUUUCCUGACGCUGAGGAGCGAAAGCGUGGGGAGCGAACAGGCUUAGAUACCCUAGUAGUCCACGCUGUAAACGGUGGGUACUAGGUGUGGGGUCCAUUCCACGGGUUCCGUGCCGUAGCUAACGCUUUAAGUACCCCGCCUGGGGAGUACGGCCGCAAGGCUAAAACUCAAAGGAAUUGACGGGGCCCCGCACAAGCGGCGGAGCAUGCGGAUUAAUUCGAUGCAACGCGUAGAACCUUACCUGGGUUUGACAUGGAUCGGGAGUGCUCAGAGAUGGGUGUGCCUCUUUUGGGGUCGGUUCACAGGUGGUGCAUGGCUGUCGUCAGCUCGUGUCGUGAGAUGUUGGGUUAAGUCCCGCAACGAGCGCAACCCCUGUUCACUGUUGCCAGCACGUUAUGGUGGGGACUCAGUGGAGACCGCCGGGGUCAACUCGGAGGAAGGUGGGGAUGACGUCAAGUCAUCAUGCCCCUCAUGUCCAGGGCUUCACGCAUGCUACAAUGGCUGGUACAGAGAGUGGCGAGCCUGUGAGGGUGAGCGAAUCUCGGAAAGCCGGUCUCAGUUCGGAUUGGGGUCUGCAACUCGACCUCAUGAAGUCGGAGUCGCUAGUAAUCGCAGAUCAGCAACGCUGCGGUGAAUACGUUCCCGGAGCU
rnacentral:rRNA from 1 species